rnacentral:lncRNA from 1 species
GAAGAAAGAGGAGGAGAAGGAGAAGAAGAAGAAGAAGGAGAAGGAGAAGAAGAAGAAGAAGAAGGAGAAGAAGAAGGAGGAGGGGGAGAAGAAGACGAUAAAGAAGAAGAAGGAGAGGAAGAGGAAGAGGAUCAUUACAAUAUUUUUCUUAUUUUGAGCUUAUUAUGUCAUUUAGGAGGAAGAUACGCUAAGUUAUGAGCUAACCAAGAUUCUUGUGAUGUUUUUAC